rnacentral:rRNA from 1 species
GACGAACGCUGGCGGCGUGCUUAACACAUGCAAGUCGAACGGAAAGGCCCUGCUUUUGUGGGGUGCUCGAGUGGCGAACGGGUGAGUAACACGUGAGUAACCUGCCCUUGACUUUGGGAUAACUUCAGGAAACUGGGGCUAAUACCGGAUAGGAGCUCCUGCUGCAUGGUGGGGGUUGGAAAGUUUCGGCGGUUGGGGAUGGACUCGCGGCUUAUCAGCUUGUUGGUGGGGUAGUGGCUUACCAAGGCUUUGACGGGUAGCCGGCCUGAGAGGGUGACCGGGCAGAGGGGGGAUGAGUGGAGGAACGGACGGCUGCGUGAUGCAGCAGUGCGGAAUGCGGCACGACGGCCGGAGGGGUGAUACAGGCACGCGGCGGGGGGGAGGAGGGCGUGCCGGUAGUGGACAGAGAACGCCCGUCCCACAGCGUGCAAGACGCUGAGGGAUAAAAAAGAACCGGCUAACUACAUG